rnacentral:rRNA from 1 species
UACAGAGGGUGCAAGCGUUGUUCGGAAUUACUGGGCGUAAAGGGCGUGUAGGCGGCUUAGUAAGUCAGAUGUGAAAGCCCGGGGCUUAACCUCGGAAGUGCAUUUGAAACUGCUAGGCUAGAGUGAGGUAGAGGUUGGUGGAAUUCCCAGUGUAGAGGUGAAAUUCGUAGAUAUUGGGAGGAACACCGGUGGCGAAGGCGGCCAACUGGGCCUUAACUGACGCUGAGGCGCGAAAGCGUGGGGAGCAAACAGG